rnacentral:pre_miRNA from 1 species
GGGGGGAGCACAAGAUCCUGGUCUGUGUCCCCCAGCGCCCCGGGCUCCGGGGCCUGUGCUGCUGGAAUCACGCUCCUGGGCGGUGUAGCUCCCU